AUUGAACGCUGGCGGCAUGCCUUACACAUGCAAGUCGAACGGCAGCAUGAUCUAGCUUGCUAGAUUGAUGGCGAGUGGCGAACGGGUGAGUAAUACAUCGGAACGUGCCCUGUAGUGGGGGAUAACUAGUCGAAAGAUUAGCUAAUACCGCAUACGACCUGAGGGUGAAAGUGGGGGACCGCAAGGCCUCAUGCUAUAGGAGCGGCCGAUGUCUGAUUAGCUAGUUGGUGGGGUAAAGGCCCACCAAGGCGACGAUCAGUAGCCGGUCUGAGAGGACGAUCAGCCACACUGGGACUGAGACACGGCCCAGACUCAUACGGGAGGCAGCAGUGGGGAAUUUUGGACAAUGGGGGCAACCCUGAUCCAGCAAUGCCGCGUGUGUGAAGAAGGCCUUCGGGUUGUAAAGCACUUUUGUCCGGAAAGAAAUCGCACUUACUAAUAUUAGGUGUGGAUGACGGUACCGGAAGAAUAAGGACCGGCUAACUACGUGCCAGCAGCCGCGGUAAUACGUAGGGUCCAAGCGUUAAUCGGAAUUACUGGGCGUAAAGCGUGCGCAGGCGGUUGUGCAAGACCGAUGUGAAAUCCCCGGGCUUAACCUGGGAAUUGCAUUGGUGACUGCACGGCUAGAGUGUGUCAGAGGGGGGUAGAAUCCCACGUGUAGCAGUGAAAUGCGUAGAGAUGUGGAGGAAUACCGAUGGCGAAGGCAGCCCCCUGGGAUAACACUGACGCUCAUGCACGAAAGCGUGGGGAGCAAACAGGAUUAGAUACCCUGGUAGUCCACGCCCUAAACGAUGUCAACUAGUUGUUGGGGACUCAUUUCCUUAGUAACGUAGCUAACGCGUGAAGUUGACCGCCUGGGGAGUACGGUCGCAAGAUUAAAACUCAAAGGAAUUGACGGGGACCCGCACAAGCGGUGGAUGAUGUGGAUUAAUUCGAUGCAACGCGAAAAACCUUACCUACCCUUGACAUGCCACUAACGAAGCAGAGAUGCAUUAGGUGCUCGAAAGAGAAAGUGGACACAGGUGCUGCAUGGCUGUCGUCAGCUCGUGUCGUGAGAUGUUGGGUUAAGUCCCGCAACGAGCGCAACCCUUGUCUCUAGUUGCUACGAAAGGGCACUCUAGAGAGACUGCCGGUGACAAACCGGAGGAAGGUGGGGAUGACGUCAAGUCCUCAUGGCCCUUAUGGGUAGGGCUUCACACGUCAUACAAUGGUGCAUACAGAGGGUUGCCAAGCCGCGAGGUGGAGCUAAUCCCAGAAAAUGCAUCGUAGUCCGGAUCGUAGUCUGCAACUCGACUACGUGAAGCUGGAAUCGCUAGUAAUCGCGGAUCAGCAUGCCGCGGUGAAAACGUUCCCGGGUCU
rnacentral:rRNA from 1 species